GAAUUUUAUUAAUAUUAAAUUAUUUGAUAUAGUAGGUUUAAUAUUUAUUUAGUUGGGGGGACAUUUAAAUUAGUAGAACUUUAAAUUAAUUAUAACAUUAAUUAAUGGAAAAAGUAAUUUUAUAAAUGAUUUAAAUUAUUUUAAUUAGAGAAUAAAUUACCUUAGGGAUAACAGCGUAAUAUUUUUGGAGAGUUCAUAUUGAUAAAGAUGUUUGC
rnacentral:rRNA from 1 species